rnacentral:rRNA from 1 species
GCAUAUCAAUAAGCGGAGGAAAAGAAACCAACAGGGAUUGCCUCAGUAACGGCGAGUGAAGCGGCAACAGCUCAAAUUUGAAAUCUGGCCCUUUCAGGGUCCGAGUUGUAAUUUGGAGAAGAUGCUUCGGGUGUGGCCCCGGUCUAAGUUCCUUGGAACAGGACGUCAUAGAGGGUGAGAAUCCCGUAUGUGACCGGUGGCCUCGCCCAUGUGAAGCUCUUUCGACGAGUCGAGUUGUUUGGGAAUGCAGCUCAAAAUGGGUGGUAAAUUUCAUCUAAAGCUAAAUAUUGGCCAGAGACCGAUAGCGCACAAGUAGAGUGAUCGAAAGAUGAAAAGCACUUUGGAAAGAGAGUUAAACAGUACGUGAAAUUGUUGAAAGGGAAGCGCUUGCAACCAGACUUGCGCGCGGCCGAUCAUCCGGUGUUCUCACCGGUGCACUCGGUCGCGCUCAGGCCAGCAUCGGUUUGGGUGGCUGGAUAAAGGCCUCGGGAAUGUGGCUCCCCUCGGGGAGUGUUAUAGCCCGAGGUGCAAUGCAGCCUACCCGGACCGAGGACCGCGCUUCGGCUAGGAUGCUGGCGUAAUGGUUGUAAGCGACCCGUCUUGAAACACGGACCAAGGAGUCUAACAUCUAUGCGAGUGUUUGGGUGUCAAACCCAUACGCGUAAUGAAAGUGAACGGAGGUGAGAACCCUUAAGGGUGCAUCAUCGACCGAUCCUGAUGUCUUCGGAUGGAUUUGAGUAAGAGCAUAGCUGUUGGGACCCGAAAGAUGGUGAACUAUGCCUGAAUAGGGUGAAGCCAGAGGAAACUCUGGUGGAGGCUCGCAGCGGUUCUGACGUGCAAAUCGAUCGUCAAAUUUGGGCAUAGGGGCGAAAGACUAAUCGAACCCAUCUAGUAGCUGGUUUCCUGCCGAAG